UCUCGAUCGCCUGCGUAUGUUUGAUAGCGUUACGUUCCCAGCAUCGAUCAUCGAUCGUCAGCAUUCAUGCCACAGCAUCAAUAUAUCUCCUCCUCCUUCUAAUAGAAUGAUAUGUAAUCCUUCUGUGCGUUCACGAAAAAAAAAAAGAGCAUCGAUCAUAUUCAGUCUCUGAGUCUCAAGAUGUCAACUGACGCAAAGGAGAAGCACCAGGUCCCUUCUACACCUGGAUCAUGAAAUUAAGGUUCAGAUUAAUGUGAUAAAAAAGAACUGAAGUUUGAAUCCAUAUGACCACCUGUGUGAUUAGUCUGGAGAGAAUCGUCAGGUAACAAUGUUCCUAGCUUGACUCUGGCAUGACUUGACCUGCUGCCUGGUCAUGCAUGUUAUCCAGAUUUCAGAAAAUUUAUCGUCAGUAGAUGUACAGGUAACUUCACAAUAAAUAAGAAGUAUUUGGAGAUAUUAUAUUUUCUUGUAUAUAAAUUGAUAUCUCCAGGUAUUUGAGGUAUCAAAAUUCUUAGUAUAAAAUUUAUGUAACUUGUGGUGAUUUUUUUAAUGAUUGUAAAAUUUCUUUCAGUUGUAAAGGCCGGACUGUAUUGAGAAAUGAAACAUAUACCUCAGAUUACUCUUCA